UGGGGAAUCUUGCACAAUGGGGGCAACCCUGAUGCAGCGACGCCGCGUGAGCGAUGAAGCCCUUCGGGGCGUAAAGCUCUUUCGACCGGAACGAUAAUGACGGUACCGGGAGAAGAAGCUGCGGCUAACUACGUGCCAGCAGCCGCGGUAAUACGUAGGCAGCAAGCGUUGUUCGGAGUUACUGGGCGUAAAGAGUGCGUAGGCGGUUUUCUAAGUUCGGUGUGAAAUCUCCCGGCUUAACUGGGAGGGUGCGCCGAAGACUGGGAAGCUGGAGUGUGGGAAAGGCAGGCUGAAUUCCUGGUGUUGCGGUGAAAUGCGUAGAUAUCAGGAGCAACACCGGCGGUGUAGACGGCUUGCUAGACCAUAACUGACGCUGAGGCACGAAAGCGUGGGUAGCAAACA
rnacentral:rRNA from 1 species